CACAGAGAGCUUGCUCUCGGGUGACGAGUGGCGGACGGGUGAGUAAUGUCUGGGAAACUGCCUGAUGGAGGGGGAUAACUACUGGAAACGGUAGCUAAUACCGCAUAACGUCGCAAGACCAAAGAGGGGGACCUUCGGGCCUCUUGCCAUCAGAUGUGCCCAGAUGGGAUUAGCUAGUAGGUGGGGUAACGGCUCACCUAGGCGACGAUCCCUAGCUGGUCUGAGAGGAUGACCAGCCACACUGGAACUGAGACACGGUCCAGACUCCUACGGGAGGCAGCAGUGGGGAAUAUUGCACAAUGGGCGCAAGCCUGAUGCAGCCAUGCCGCGUGUAUGAAGAAGGCCUUCGGGUUGUAAAGUACUUUCAGCGGGGAGGAAGGCGAUAAGGUUAAUAACCUUGUCGAUUGACGUUACCCGCARAAGAAGCACCGGCUAACUCCGUGCCAGCAGCCGCGGUAAUACGGAGGGUGCAAGCGUUAAUCGGAAUUACUGGGCGUAAAGCGCACGCAGGCGGUCUGUCAGUCG
rnacentral:rRNA from 1 species